rnacentral:rRNA from 1 species
ACGCUAGCGGCAGGCCUAAUACAUGCAAGUCGGACGGGAUCCAUCGGAGAGCUUGCUCGAAGAUGGUGAGAGUGGCGCACGGGUGCGUAACGCGUGAGCAACCUACCUCUAUCAGGGGGAUAGCCUCUCGAAAGAGAGAUUAACACCGCAUAAUAUAAUUUCCCGGCAUCGAGGAAUUAUUAAAUAUUUAUAGGAUAGAGAUGGGCUCGCGUGACAUUAGCUAGUUGGUAGGGUAACGGCUUACCAAGGCGACGAUGUCUAGGGGCUCUGAGAGGAGAAUCCCCCACACUGGUACUGAGACACGGACCAGACUCCUACGGGAGGCAGCAGUAAGGAAUAUUGGUCAAUGGGCAGAAGCCUGAACCAGCCAUGCCGCGUGCAGGAUGACUGCCCUAUGGGUUGUAAACUGCUUUUGUCCAGGAAUAAACCUAGAUACGUGUAUCUAGCUGAAUGUACUGGAAGAAUAAGGAUCGGCUAACUCCGUG